rnacentral:rRNA from 1 species
UACGAGGGGGGCAAGCGUUGUUCGGAAUUAUUGGGCGUAAAGGGCGCGUAGGCGGCGCGGUAAGUCACCAGUGAAAUCUCCGGGCUCAACUCGGAGCCUGCUGGCGAAACUGCCGUGCUGGAGUAUGGGAGGGGUGCGUGGAAUUCCCGGUGUAGCGGUGAAAUGCGUAGAUAUCUGCAGGAACACCCGUGGCGAAGGCGGCUGACUGGAUCGCAACUGACACUGAGGAACGAAAGCUAGGGGAGCAAACAGG